UCAUCUGCUCUUGUCCCUCCGAUCUACAGUUCAUUCUGGUCUUUUUUUUGUUUGUUGACAUGUGGGGCCUCACUGCUGACGGCAUUCCCUCGUCAUUUCCGCUUUGCUGCUGUCGCAACUCCACGCCGCCGCCGCCGAAGCUGCCUCUGCCGCCGCCUCUCACCAAGAUAGCCGCUGCAGCCCCUCACCUCCGCGCCGACUACCGCUGACCCUACCCCGACAGCAAUCGCCAGAUCCGCAGCUGCCCUCCUCAACGACGGGCGCCAAGCUCCGCUCCCGCCGUUGCAGCCACGAACUGCCUUCCCUCGACGGCCGCUGCCGACCCAGGUUUCUCUCAAGUUGCUACUGCCCGGAGCUCGCCAUCCUCGACGUCUCCACCUGCCCCUUCCUCGACGUCCCACAGAAGCUAACCACCUGCAGUUUUGGGUGCUCAUUUGUCAUUUCUAUGCUAUUUUGGUUCCUUUUUUACUGCUUAGUUCUUCAUUUGACUGCGUAUUUUAGAUCUCGAUUUGAUUGAGUUAAUAUCUGUAAAUGUAGUUCUGAUUGAUCUCUACUUCUAUUUGGUCUUAUUUGUGUAGUAUGAUUGUACUGUGUGGCCUAACAAAUCCGUGGUGAUUUGUGCGCGAUUGAUUUUGGUUCAAAUGCUCAUGUGGAUCCCAAAUCGCACAAGAUGAUGUGUCUAUUUGGAGCUCUGACUAGUUGCUACUUCGAUCGUAGUCCUCUAAGAUCAAUUACUUUUCACAGAUCAACUACUACCAGCUGUUUUUUUUUAUCUCUACAUCUCCUUUUCUUGUGUCAUGGUCUUUAGCGGUUUCAUCCAGUCACAGUAUGUCAAGCACAGCCUAGUUGGCUUUGUAAUGUUACUCUCAAACUGCAAUUCUAGUUUGUAAUAUUUGAAUAUGAUUAUUUUUAAGUAUGCUUUGUCCUUCAAUCA